AACGGGGGGAAUAAGCGUUAGCCGUCGUUACUGGGCGUAAAGAGCUCGUAGGCGGUGUGUCGCGUCGGCCGUGAAAACCUGGGGCUUAACUCUGGGCUUGCGGUCGAUACGGGCAUCACUGGAGUUCGGCAGGGGAGACUGGAAUUCCUGGUGUAGCGGUGAAAUGCGCAGAUAUCAGGAGGAACACCGGUGGCGAAGGCGGGUCUCUGGGCCGAUACUGACGCUGAGGAGCGAAAGCGUGGGGAGCGAACAGG
rnacentral:rRNA from 1 species